UAAGGCCCAGGGAAGUUACGUGAUAGCUGAAAGUCACCAGCUCCUGGAACCUCCCCUGGGGACUCUUGGGACACCCUACCUAGGUUUGGGACACCCCAACCUUAUGUUUGUAACCCCGCAGCCACACAGCCACCGGAACAUCCCAGAAGUCCCAAGCCAUCAAAGGUAGCAGUUUCCAGUGGGAAGUCCAAUGUAACAGUUACAUCAGACUAGGUUAUUUAAUGAGACGCAUCCCACCAUUUACAGCCCCGGACACCCGUUUCAGGAGCUGCUUGGGCCUCAGUUACACCCGUGACUUUCUGCACCCUUACCUGUCCUGACCCCGUCCCCAUUGCUUGGCUCCCCGGAAGCUGUCCUGCCGUACAUGAAGCUUGUUGGAGCGGCACAGAAGAAGAAUGAAAAAAUGCUGGGGUCCCCACGUAACAUACCAGGAGGGGGUCCAGUGAGUCCAUAUUUUAGAGGCACCCAGCCUGCGUGUUCAUCCUAGCCUCUGCCACGUUGGCUGUGUGACCUGGGAAAUCUCACCUCCUCCUGGAAGCCUGGGGCCAGACAGUGGAAGAAUAAUGGUGAUUUCCUUGGCAUACGACCCCUCUCCACUCCAUCUUCACUCCCCCGCCC